UGGACUCUGCCUGGCAUCCUUCCUUCUAUUUUCCAAAUGAGGAAAUCAAGACGAAGAGGGAAGAAGGAACGUGCUCCAAGUCACAAAGUCCAUGUGGCAGAGAAGACCCGGGCUGUGAGCAUGCCAUUGCCCAGGCCCACUGUCUGCAGGGGCCUAGAGACCAGCUCUACGUUGCCGUUAAGGGGUGACGCCCCCUGUGAUCCCAGCCUCGGGAGAAGGUACCUCAGGAAUUUGCUGCAGACAGUGCUGCCCUGGUGGCGUGAGGAGGUGGGCAAGCCACAGUUCCAGGCUGGGCCUCUGCUGCUCACCCAACUACAGCUUUCCACCUGGGAGUGGGGACUUCUCCUAGCCACCACCCCAAGCCAAGGACAACCCUGGAGUGAGGAUCAAGGGGUCGCCACUCCUUAGAGGGCCUUCAACCAGCACAAGAGGCCAAGAUGCCCAGUCCCAGGGCACAGAGCUGGCAUGGUGAGACCUCAGCCCUCCACCAGGGUCCCCACUGAACAAAAACCUCACUCACUCGGGCCAAGACCAGCAAUGGGGCUCCUGGGAACCAGCAUGGGACACAGACCCAGCCUGGUCGGUGAGCAGCCUCUGAGGAUGCUGAGAGGCAGGAGGACCUGGGGCAGCAGAGCCCCCACCCUGGGGACAGGUCCUCCCAGCUGGAGCUCAAGGCGGCCCCCGCUAGUCAAGUGCCGGAGAAAAAGCAGGCCCCACAGAGGGACACAAAGGCUGGCCCACAGACCUCACCCAGGGUUCAGUGUCCCCAUCCACUAAGUGGGCUUGUCUCUGUGACACCUCCACAAGGUCCCAAAAAUAAAGUCCCUGGCACGAA